rnacentral:rRNA from 1 species
CCUACGGGUGGCAGCAGUGGGGAAUAUUGGACAAUGGGGGCAACCCUGAUCCAGCCAUGCCGCGUGUGUGAAGAAGGCCCUCGGGGUGUAAAGCACUUUCAGUGAGGAAGAACGCCUGGUGGUUAAUACCCAUCAGGAAAGACAUCACUCACAGAAGAAGCACCGGCUAACUCCGUGCCAGCAGCCGCGGUAAUACGGAGGGUGCGAGCGUUAAUCGGAAUUACUGGGCGUAAAGCGCGCGUAGGUGGCUUGAUAAGCCGGUUGUGAAAGCCCCGGGCUCAACCUGGGAACGGCAUCCGGAACUGUCAAGCUAGAGUGCAGGAGAGGAAGGUAGAAUUCCCGGUGUAGCGGUGAAAUGCGUAGAGAUCGGGAGGAAUACCAGUGGCGAAGGCGGCCUUCUGGACUGACACUGACACUGAGGUGCGAAAGCGUGGGUAGCAAACAGGAUUAGAUACCCCAGUAGUC